rnacentral:rRNA from 1 species
CACGCUGUAAACGAUGAGUGCUAGAUAUCGGGAGAAUAUCUUUCGGUUUCGUAGUUAACACAUUAAGCACUCCGCCUGGGGAGUANGCGAAAAACCUUACCAACCCUUGACAUGGUGGUCGAGAAUUGCAGAGAUGCUUUUCAUCAGUUCGGCUGGACCACACACAGGUGU